rnacentral:lncRNA from 1 species
CCCCUUUAUCUCUCAAAAUAAAAGCGUCGCUUUUCUCUGCGAAUGAGAUGCAAAUACCUCCCAAAGGCGAUACGUACAUACGUGGCUUUCACUUCGCAAUAAACAAAAGAGGGGGUGAAAAGUCACAAUCUGAAGCUACGAGGGAAAUCAUGAUGAAGCGACAUUUUCUCAUCAUCAGACGAAUUAAGUUCAAUGUUCCUGCUUAGGCCUUGUUUGGUUCCACCAACUAAAUUUUAGCUAGCUAAAAUUAUUUUAGCUACUAUUGGGUGACUAAUGGAACUAAACUAUUUUAGCUUCUUUUAGUCAAUGUGUUUGGAACUUUAGCUACUAAAGUGACUAAAGUUUAGCUAGCUAAAAUUUAGUUGGUGGAACCAAACAGGGCCUUAAUUAAAGAAAAAACAGAAUCUGGGCAACGACACGAUGUUCACUCUGAAUCAAUCAAUGCUGCUACAGAAACGAUCUGAAUCUCUGAACCAAAAGAAUUCCACGGGUGGGGUGGUACAAAGCACAGGUCAGGAACACAAACACACACAGGCAAGCAAGAAGAAGGCAUCACGCGACGCAUGUCGACAGCACUACGGCGGCUCUCGUUCGUCUAGGAGACAUCAUCAGUGGCGCAGGUUGCCGAGGAGGAGCGCGACGGCCGGGCAGAGCACGGCGGCAACGAGCGACGAGGAGACGGACGCGGCGCCGGAGGUGGGGCUCGGCGCGGGGGCGUCGGCGGCGAAGGCGACGCCGGCGAAGGCGGAUACGGCGACGGCCGCGACGACGGCGGCGCGCAACAUCUUGGAGGAGGCCAUGACGAUUUGGAAGCUAGCGAACAGAGAUUUGCCUGCGCUAGCUUUUGAGCUGAGCUCGUAGGGAAAUUGCAAACGAUUUGUGUGUGUGUGUGUGUGUGUGAGGUCGGAGGUGGUGAGAGCGCGUGUGUUUAUAGGUGGGCGGAGGAGAAGGUUUGGUGGGCCCACGUUCACAGUCUGGCUGGCCUAUUUCCCAUCAGCCAGCUCAUAAUUAGUGGCAGCCCAUAAUUUAGCGUAAAGUUAGAAGACUGAUGGUUUUCAGUCACAUAAAACCAAAGCUACAAUUAGUAGCAGAGAUUUUUUCUACUAAUACAAGAGAAUUCAUAAUUGUGAUUUUGGGGACUUGCUUUUUUAAAAUUG